rnacentral:rRNA from 1 species
UAGGGAAUCUUCCGCAAUGGACGCAAGUCUGACGGAGCAACGCCGCGUGAGUGAAGAAGGAUUUCGGUUCGUAAAACUCUGUUGUUAGAGAAGAACAGCGCAUAGAGUAACUGUUAUGCGUGUGACGGUAUCUAACCAGAAAGCCACGGCUAACUACGUGCCAGCAGCCGCGGUAAUACGUAGGGCGCAAGCGUUAUCCGGAAUUAUUGGGCGUAAAGAGCUUGUAGGCGGUUCGUCGCGUCUGGUGUGAAAGCCCAUCGCUUAACGGUGGGAUUGCGCCGGGUACGGGCGGGCUAGAGUGCAGUAGGGGAGACUGGAAUUCUCGGUGUAACGGUGGAAUGUGUAGAUAUCGGGAAGAACACCAAUGGCGAAGGCAGGUCUCUGGGCUGUUACUGACGCGGAGAAGCGAAAGCGUGGGGAGCGAACAGG